rnacentral:rRNA from 1 species
UAAACUGGGAUUAGAUACCCCACUAUGCUUAAGCACAACUAAGACCUUUUCCGCCAGAAAAUUACGUGCGAAAGCCUAAAACUCAAAAGACUUGACGGUGUCCCAAUCUUCCUAGAGGAGCCUGUUCCAUAAUCGACAACCCACGAUACACCUAACCACCUUUAGAAUAUUUCUCAGCCUAUAUACCGCCGUCGUACAGCUUACCUUUUAAAAGACUAUAAGUAAGCUAAAUAGUAAAAUACUAACAAGUCAGGUCAAGGUGUAGCUUAUAGGGUGGAGGAAAUGGGCUACAUUGUUUAUAUUAAACAAUACGAACUUAUCUCCCUGAAAAAGAAAAUAAAGGCGGAUUUAGCAGUAAUUUAAACAAGAAUAUUUAAAUUAACACUAGCUCUGGGACAUGUACACACCGCCCGUCACCCUCA